rnacentral:sRNA from 1 species
GCGGCUACAGGCUGAAGAGAGGUGACAUAAGCCUAUCCUUCCUCCCUUUCUCCCUCCUUUUCUUCCUCCCUCCCUCUUGGCUUUUCUCCUCUGUGGCUCCCUCCAUCUUCCACCUCAGAUAUGGCCAGCCUGGCCUGAUCUUUAGGGAACAUUUUCUCCUGAUAGAGAGCAAAGAGUGUUGCAGAAAUUCUGAAAUGUGAAUGACGUCACUCUCCCUUGUUCUUUGAAUCUGCCCUGGAUCCUGCCCAGUCUAAUGGUGGAGCUCAUGGCUGAGAGGAGUCCUUGGGGACAGUAGGGGGCCAAGUUAGGAUUCCCUUAGAAAUGGGGACACUCAUAGACAUUCUUCUACCUCACCUUAGGGAGAAGACAGUUCUGCAGUCUACCAAUCGAAAACUGGAGCGGAAAGUUAAAGAACUAUCCAUCCAGAUUGAAGACGAGCGGCAGCAUGUCAAUGACCAGAAAGACCAGCUAAGCCUGAGGGUGAAGGCUUUGAAGCGUCAGGUGGAUGAAGCAGAAGAGGAAAUUGAGCGACUGGACGGCCUGAGGAAGAAGGCCCAGCGUGAGGUGGAGGAGCAGCAUGAGGUCAAUGAACAGCUCCAGGCCCGGAUCAAGUCUCUGGAGAAGGACUCCUGGCGCAAAGCUUCCCGCUCAGCUGCUGAGUCAGCUCUCAAAAACGAAGGGCUGAGCUCAGAUGAGGAAUUCGACAGUGUCUACGAUCCCUCGUCCAUUGCAUCACUGCUUACGGAGAGCAACCUACAGACCAGCUCCUGUUAGCUCGUGGUCCUCAAGGACUCAGAAACCAGGCUCGAGGCCUAUCCCAGCAAGUGCUGCUCUGCUCUGCCCACCCUGGGUUCUGCAUUCCUAUGGGUGACCCAAUUAUUCAGACCUAAGACAGGGAGGGGUCAGAGUGAUGGUGAUAAAAAAAAAAAAAA